rnacentral:snRNA from 1 species
AUAUAUAUAUAGGAGGAGA